GAUCCUGGCUCAGGAUGAACGCUAGCUACAGGCUUAACACAUGCAAGUCGAGGGGCAGCAUGAAAGUAGCUUGCUACUUUGAUGGCGACCGGCGCACGGGUGCGUAACGCGUAUCCAAUCUACCCAUGGCUUAGGGAUAGCCUUUCGAAAGAAAGAUUAAUACCUGAUGGUUUCGCUUUUCCGCAUGGUUUGGCGAAUAAAGAUUUAUCGGCGAUGGAUGAGGAUGCGACUGAUUAGGUUGUUGGCGGGGUAACGGCCCACCAAGCCGACGAUCAGUAGGGGUUCUGAGAGGAAGGUCCCCCACAUUGGAACUGAGACACGGUCCAAACUCCUACGGGAGGCAGCAGUGAGGAAUAUUGGUCAAUGGACGAGAGUCUGAACCAGCCAAGUAGCGUGAAGGAUGACGGCCCUAUGGGUUGUAAACUUCUUUUGUUUGGGAAUAAAGUGCUCUACGUGUAGAGUUUUGUAUGUACCUUACGAAUAAGCAUCGGCUAAUUCCGUGCCAGCAGCUGC
rnacentral:rRNA from 1 species